rfam:Gossypium hirsutum cultivar TM-1 chromosome 15, whole genome shotgun sequence
AACCCAUGGUACGGUCAUUUUUUAAUAAACAUUUUAGAACAUUCCCACACUUCAUAAAAACUUUCUCCUUUCAUCUAUCUAAAAAUAGUAAUCUCUCUUCUUAGUUG